AUGCCUUUCAAUGCUCCUCUUUACUCUGAUUAUGCCAUGUGUUUAUGGCCUCCCACUUCUCGACAUGCUUUCCUUUGAUUUCCAUUUUCUCCUUGUUUUCCUCCUACAUCACUGCCUUUUCCUUCUCAGUCUCCUUCUAGAGUUCACUUCUGUCUGUCCCUUAAGAUUAGUCCCCUACUCCAACCGCAUACACACACACAGAGCCACCUGUGGAAAAAGACUUCUGUUCUCACCUUCCCUACUGUUCUUGGGCAGAUUAUCUGAAGUCUGUUUUGUUUUUUUGUUUUUUUUUUUUAACUAAGGGGAGAUUUACACCUCCUAUAACGUGUGCAUGUGGAUUAAUAAUAAUAAUAACGAGAGAAGUAUAAACACUGAAACUUUCUAAGAAGGUUUCAGCAAAAGUAUUGAUGGAGACGAGAAGGUGUAAAGGUGUUAAAUUCCUAUCUUCCAUACAAAGAAAUCAGUAAAUAACAUUUCAAACUGAAAAAUGAGGAGUCUGUAGUAUCAGUUAAGUUAUUUUAAAUAUGGAGGUAAACACCAGGGGGAAAAUGUCAGCCAGAAGAGUUGAAAAUGUUUCUCUGCAGAGUGAGAACUGCAGGAAGUCAGAAGUGUUUUGGGCAAAGGACUGCUGUUUUUCACAAUACCUCCUAUGAUACCAUUUGGCUCUUUAAACUUCGUGCACAUUCAUAUAAAAGGUGAUAGGGAUAACAUUCCAAACCACUAGUUUCCGUAUAUAUAAAAUCAGUAUUUUGAUAUAAAAUUUGCCUAAAUGAAAAAAGAUAACUGGAACAAUUCCAAAGCAGACCUCCAAGAAUGGAGCAAUAAAAAAGAAAAAAAAAAAUGCUCGAAUGGCUGUUGAAGGAGGAGACGAAACGAUAACUGCCAUCUGGAAAAAAUAAAGAACCACACACCUCUUUUCUAUUAAACACAAAACUGUACUAUAGUAACCAGUUCCUAAGUCUUCCUAACGCCUCUCAGCAGCUCUUGGGCUUGCCAACAGCUCUUCCAGAAUGUUCACAUGAGGAUAUAAACAGAAAAAGAAGCCACUUCGUAUGUAAAGAAAAAGGAAGAAGACGCUUCCUCAAGAUCUCAAAAGCUUAGAUUCACACUCGCCUGAGGGAAGAGUGAGGAAAGUUACCACGAAUACUUCACUACUGUAUGGAAAACUAUGUUAUAUCAUUAAGAAUAAUUUAACUCAAGCAUGAGACAGACUUAAACAACUUUCUUCUUUCAGUAAAAGGUAAAACUAUGCUAAAUGAAUAAUUUCCACAAGUUCUUAUAUUGGCAGAACUGCCUGUGCCCUUGACCAUAAAUUUUAUUUGAUUUUUUACGAUAUUUUUCUACUUUUGAGGAAGUUUUUCUCUCCCUAAAUGUAGGUGAUUUAUUUUGAGAUGCUUUCUUCAGUAUAUUUUAAGGAAAGUCAGUCGUGUCUAAGCUUUCUGACAAAACACAACACUGGAUGAUGCCUGCCCUCCCCACCCCCACCCCCGGCCACACACACACAUUUCUUAUUCUGAAGUCUGUUCUGUUCUAUUUCUCUUCCCCUAAAGUCUUACCUCUCAACCCCUACCUACCCAGAUCCCAAAACUCUGCUGGUUUCAACCUCCUGGGAAAGAAAGCCUGCCCCUGCUAUUUUCUCUGCUCCUUCAAAACACACUAAAGAGGUGGGUGAAAGAACAUCUUAAAUCAGUCCGCCUAAAACAAGUGCCUUCUUGGAGCCAUCCUAAAUGCUUCCACAACUGCCAGCCUCCAAAAGACACGAAAUACUGUUGGGAGGGCGCGAGGCCAUUGCUGCCGCGUCUUCUGUGAGCAAUGAGGAGCCAACAGCAGAGAAGGCGAAGGUACGAACUUCUUUGAACUACCAGACUCAGU